rnacentral:lncRNA from 1 species
GCCAGAGACACCUUGACCUGCCGGCCUUCUCUGGUACUGGGAUUCCCAGCGGCCCUCCCAGGGUUAUGCUCCCUCGCAUGAUGUAUUUCCCCUGCCUUUUUUAGAGCAGCGUUGUGCUCGCUCCAGGAAACAGCCUCUUCCUUCUCAUAAACACAGCCUUGGGUUCCUGACCAAGCGUCGUGCCACUCCGCGGCUCCUGAUCCAUCCAUCACACCUUGCUGUCACCGUGACUUCGAUUGUAGAGAACUGGUCCAACUCCAGAGGUGAAUUCAGGAUGGGGAGAAGGAAGAGGCAAGCCCUGGGAGCAGCUGAGGGUCACACACACUCCGUGUUCAGUCCCUGGGUAAAUCCUUUGGAAACUAGCUGACCGGUAUGGUGAGCAAGAAUUUCCAAUGACCCAGUGAGUGUGAUGGGAACAUCCUGAUAAACUCUCCACCACCAGAGCUAGGACUGGCCUUUCCGGUGUGCAGGGACCAAGGAGAGAAGAAAAUAGAGACGCCAUGGAGAAACUGAACUCUGAAAGGACUGAGUGUCUCAUGAAGAUCCGCAGAAAAGCUCGGCUUCUUUAUGAGCAAUGGAGAUUAGCCAACUGUGGGGACUCGGAGGAUCUACAUGAACUACACCUAAAUCGGUCUUCUCUAUCAUCUUGCUAAGUGAUUACCUUGAGAACAACGUGACACACAUCUGUAAUCCCAGCACAUGGGAAGCCGAGGCAGGAGGAUAAUUUCAAGGCCAACCUGAACUAUGUAGUGAAGUCCCGCAUCUAAAAACUGAACAAACAAAUGAAAAUAAGUAGAUACGGGGCUGGGGGUGUAUCUCUGUGAUACAAACGUCUGGGGCGGAAGCUCCAUGAUAGAGUACUUGUUGUCCAGCAUGCAGGAAUCCCUUGCUCAAUCCCAAAGUGGGGUGGGGGCAGGAAGAGGCACUGAAUCCCCAGAGACAGGACUGACAGACAGUUUUGAACCUUCAUGUACAUGCUGGGCAUCAAACCAGGGUCCUCUGGAAGAACAGCCAGUACUCUUAACCACCGAGCCCUCCCUCCAAUUUCAGGUACUGUUAUUUUAAAGUUCUCUCUUCCAUAUGUCCGUUUAAAAAGAAAAGGGAGCUAGAGAGUUGCCUCAGUGGUUAAGAGCACUGGCUGUUCUUGCAGAGGACCUGGGUUCGAUUCCCAGCAACCACAUGGCAG